rnacentral:piRNA from 1 species
GAAAUAAUGAGACAUCAGCCUAUAGGAA